rnacentral:rRNA from 1 species
AUUGAACGCUGGCGGCAUGCCUUACACAUGCAAGUCGAACGGCGGCACGGGUGCUUGCACCUGGUGGCGAGUGGCGAACGGGUGAGUAAUACAUCGGAACAUGUCCUGUAGUGGGGGAUAGCCCGGCGAAAGCCGGAUUAAUACCGCAUACGAUCCACGGAUGAAAGCGGGGGACCUUCGGGCCUCGCGCUAUAGGGUUGGCCGAUGGCUGAUUAGCUAGUUGGUGGGGUAAAGGCCUACCAAGGCGACGAUCAGUAGCUGGUCUGAGAGGACGACCAGCCACACUGGGACUGAGACACGGCCCAGACUCCUACGGGAGGCAGCAGUGGGGAAUUUUGGACAAUGGGCGAAAGCCUGAUCCAGCAAUGCCGCGUGUGUGAAGAAGGCCUUCGGGUUGUAAAGCACUUUUGUCCGGAAAGAAAUCCUUGGCUCUAAUACAGUCGGGGGAUGACGGUACCGGAAGAAUAAGCACCGGCUAACUACGUG